UACGUAGGGUGCAAGCGUUGUCCGGAAUUAUUGGGCGUAAAGAGCUCGUAGGCGGUUUGUCGCGUCUGCUGUGAAAACUCAGGGCUUAACCCUGAGCCUGCAGUGGGUACGGGCAGACUAGAGUGUGGUAGGGGAGAUCGGAAUUCCUGGUGUAGCGGUGAAAUGCGCAGAUAUCAGGAGGAACACCGAUGGCGAAGGCAGGUCUCUGGGCAUUAACUGACGCUGAGGAGCGAAAGCAUGGGGAGCGAACAGG
rnacentral:rRNA from 1 species